rnacentral:rRNA from 1 species
AUCCGAACUGAGACCGGCUUUUUGGGAUUCGCUCCACCUUACGGUAUCGCAGCCCUCUGUACCGGCCAUUGUAGCAUGCGUGAAGCCCAAGACAUAAGGGGCAUGAUGAUUUGACGUCAUCCCCACCUUCCUCCGAGUUGACCCCGGCAGUCUCCCAUGAGUCCCCGGCAUAACCCGCUGGCAACAUAGGACGAGGGUUGCGCUCGUUGCGGGACUUAACCCAACAUCUCACGACACGAGCUGACGACAACCAUGCACCACCUGUGUACGAGUGUCCAAAGAGAACCCCGUCUCGGGGGCUUUCUCGUACAUGUCAAGCCUUGGUAAGGUUCUUCGCGUUGCAUCGAACUAAUCCGCAUGCUCCGCCGCUUGUGCGGGCCCCCGUCAAUUCCUUUGAGUUUUAGCCUUGCGGCCGUACUCCCCAGGCGGGGCACUUAAUGCGUUAGCUGCGGCACGGAACUCGUGGAAUGAGCCCCACACCUAGUGCCCAACGUUUACGGCAUGGACUACCAGGGUAUCUAAUCCUGUUCGCUCCCCAUGCUUUCGCUCCUCAGCGUCAGUUGCGGCCCAGAGACCUGCCUUCGCCAUCGGUGUUCCUCCUGAUAUCUGCGCAUUCCACCGCUACACCAGGAAUUCCAGUCUCCCCUACCGCACUCUAGUCUGCCCGUACCCGAUGCAAGCCCGAGGUUGAGCCUCGGGAUUUCACACCAGACGCGACAGACCGCCUACGAGCUCUUUACGCCCAAUAAUUCCGGACAACGCUUGCGCCCUACGUAUUACCGCGGCUGCUGGCACGUAGUUAGCCGGCGCUUCUUCUGCAGGUACCGUCACUUGCGCUUCUUCCCUGCUGAAAGAGGUUUACAACCCGAAGGCCGUCAUCCCUCACGCGGCGUCGCUGCAUCAGGCUUGCGCCCAUUGUGCAAUAUUCCCCACUGCUGCCUCCCGUAGGAGUCUGGGCCGUGUCUCAGUCCCAGUGUGGCCGGUCGCCCUCUCAGGCCGGCUACCCGUCGACGCCUUGGUAGGCCAUCACCCCACCAACAAGCUGAUAGGCCGCGAGCCCAUCCCCCACCGAAAAACUUUCCAACCCACACCAUGCGAUGCGAGCUCAUAUCCGGUAUUAGACCCCGUUUCCAAGGCUUAUCCCGAAGUGGAGGGCAGGUUGCUCACGUGUUACUCACCCGUUCGCCACUGAUCCACCCAGCAAGCUGGGCUUCACCG